rnacentral:misc_RNA from 1 species
AGAUAAAGGCCCCUGCCAAGUGCAUCCACUUCUAUGGUAUAGACAAUGAACUGUUAUCUUGCCAAUGGUUUCAGCUAGAGCUUUGUUUGAUUCAAUAAGAGGCUUGGAAUCUGCUUCUGUCACCAAGUAGCCAUCAUAGGGGCAAGCCCUGGUAGUGCUCACAAUAUAUGUUAAACAUGGCUUACAGUAUAGGUGGGUACACAAGGACUGUAAUGCUUCAUUUGGAUAGACUAGCAGACGGCAAACAGGACAGAAAUAUUCUCCAGCCAGAGAUUGAAUGUUCAGUAUGCACUCAUUAUCAAAACCCAUGGUGCAAUAGAGUCUGGCUUCAACUCGCAGUAAGCAUCAAUGCUAUCCAACCUAAGAGAGAGGAGAGUACUGGAGACACAAAGAAAGCUGAG